rnacentral:lncRNA from 1 species
CUUUUUCUGUGUCUGAGGAAGCCAGCUCUCCACUACCUUUUAUCAGAGAGGAAACACUCUCCUUGACCUGUCUCCUCCUGUCUAUGUACCUGCAGAACCCCUUCUUGUUAUUUUUCACAUCCACAGCCAAGUUCAGCUCUAUGCGCACCUUGGCUUUCCUGUUCUUAUCUCUACACAUGCGGACAACAGCCCUGUAUUCCUCCCAGGCUAUACAACCCUGCUUCCACCUCAUGUAUAUUUCCCUCUUUUCCCUCAGUUUAAGCUGCAGGUCCUUGCUCAACUACAUCGCUCGCCCACCUCCCCUGCUCAACUUCUUCUGCUGGGGGAUGGAGAGCUGUUGUGCUCUCAGAAGGGUGUCUUUAAAGAGCUGCCAGCUCUUCUCUGUUCCUAUGCCCUUAAGGACAGUUUCCCAGGGGAUCCCACCCCGCAGUUGCUUGAGCAGCCGGAAUUUUGCUCUCUUGAAGCACAGGGUCCUGACUCUGCUUUUUGCCAGGCCUACAUUCUUCAAGAUCACAAACUCCACCAGGGCAUUAUCACUACAGCCCAGGCUGGCUCCAAUCUUAACCCGUCUAAUGCUCUCCUCCGCAUUGGUGAGCACCAGGUCCAGUAAGGCUUCACCUCGUGUCAGUCCAUCUAAUACCUGGAUCAGGAAGUUAUCCUCAACAGAUUGCAGGAAUCUCCUGGAUUGUCUGCUGCCCGCCGUGCCGCUAACCCAGCAGAUAUCCGGGUGGUUGAAAUCCCCCAUCAGGACAAGAGCCUGCGAGCGUGUCACUUCCUGCAGCUGAAGCAAGAAGGCCCCAUCAAUAGACUCCCCCCGAUCAGGUGGCCUGUAGCAGACCCCAACCACUAGAUGCCCUUUACUGGACCGAUCCCUGAUUUUAACCCAUCAGUCAGAGACUACUGAAGUUUGCAGCUGACAGUAAGAUAAACUGUAAAUGGGCCAGGUUCUUACAUACGUUAUCUGGUUCAUUUUACAUCAAUGACUCUGAAUGUUUGUAGUGGGUAUCCUGACUACUAAAAGAUUAUAAUCCAA